rnacentral:misc_RNA from 1 species
GCGUGUGGUCCAGGUCCAGGAUGAGGAUCAGCUUCCUCUCGCGCAUGAGGGUCGCCCUGUCGGACGCGCUGACAAUGCUCAUCGCCUCCUCUAUGGCUGGCACUGGCAGCACCGGGCCCUCGCCGUGGAUGUACUCGACGACAGUGUCAGUGUCGUCGUCUUCGUCUUCGUCGCUGUUAUCGUCCUCGUCUCCUCUUCCUUGAUUCGUCACAUCGUACCCAACGGCAACUCCGGGGAGAGCAUCUCCUCCAGCCGCCUCCCAGACCCCAUGGACGAACCCAGGGUGCGGGGGGCAACUCGCAGCGUAGUAGUCGCCGUCUCGGUCUCCUCCUUGCCUCAUCGUCUCGUGACCAACGGCGACUCCGGGGGGGGGAGCAACUCCUCCAUCCUCCUCU